CGCGGAGUGGAGCAGGGGUAGCUCGUCGGGAUCAUAACCCGAAGGUCGAGGGUUCGAAUACUUCCUCCGCAA
rnacentral:tRNA from 1 species